UAACAAAAAAUGUUGAAUAAAAGUGAUUUAUUAAGUGAAGCAGUGAUUCUUAUGCGCCUCUCCCCACCGUCCGAUCCAUAUCUCUGACCCCAAUCUCCAGCCGUUCAUCUCUAUAUUUCACUCCUCGCUCGUGUUAUAAAAUACACAUUCACAUUCUCAACUCCACCUCCAUUUCAUUUCCGCCCCAACUCACUCCCUCUCUCCCUCUCUCUAAUUCACUCAUAAUACACAGAUAUGAAUAAACUGGGAACAUAAAAUUUCUUCGGUGCUUGGUAGAACACAGAGCUAAAAGCUAAGUCGGUUACAAGAGUCUCACUAUUAAUAUUAUGAGCACAGUGAGCAACCGUCUGUCAAAAGUUGAUAACUGGCAAAGAAUCAGUUUCAGCCCCUGCUUCAUUUAAGCAACAAUAAGUUUGACAAAUAAUCAGUUUCAGCACUGCUUGAACUUUAAGCAACAAUAAGCGGUGUCUAAGUUCUAUGUUUAGUAACCUCGCAGUCUUGCUCCCAAGCCUAACACAACUUGUAGUCUUGCACUCGGCGCAGCAGCCAAUACUCGAGCUUGCUCAUCCUUGGCCCGAGUGGGUCCAACUCAUGAAGUGCUUGCUCGACAAGGGAUACUUCUGUAGUGAAGAGGGAAAAAUGUUAUGCAAUGCUGGUAUGGGCAUGAAGGAUUUCAAUGUCAUUAGAACCGUGUGCCUCAAUUUUGGUAGAGACCACUUUCAUCUUUUAAGGUUUGGCCGUGAUUUAGAACUCUGGGACAGACUGUGAUAUUCAAUUGGACAAGAACCUAGGCUUGAUUUAUACCAUUUUUAUAUUUCAUAUUUGAGUUUGUACCUUAAUGGAAGCUUAUUUUUACGGUUAAGAAACGAUGGAGUAUGGUUCCUUAUUAUUGGCAAAAUUCCUCUUAAUUACAUAGUUUGGAGCGUAGGUUUUAUUAUGAUAAUUUUAUUCUUAUAUUGUGUCUGCUGGACAGGAGAUUUCAUAGAUAAAGGAGGGUAUUUCAACAAAUAAUGCAUGCUGGGAAAUUGGAGAAUCACCAGUUAAGUUAGUGGGUUGAACAUUAGUUAAUGACCUUUUUGGAAACCUAUUCUGUUCAUAUUGUUUUUAUUGGUCUAAAAUUUCCCAUGUAGCCUUCAUUGUGUAAGAUUGAAAUAACUAAUUCUCCUCUCCAGAGAAUCUCACUUUCAUGCUAGAGAUGUCAUUUUUGGUUCUCCGAGUUGUGUAAUGGGAGAAGGUAAAGGAAUUGGAUUGGCUAAGUGGAAAUUUAAUUUUAUAUAUAUACAUGAGACUUGCCAUUAUAUUAUUCAAAUGUGAAUAACAAGGAAGAUCUAUUUGAUUAGAAAAUGGGAAAUUUUGGGUCU